UUGAAGAGUAUUUAAGGUCGAAGCCCGCGUAGGAUAACAAUCUUCCUCUAUGUACAUGAUGUCACAUAAGCUUCCUUGGUUGAUGAGGACUCUUGACACGUCAAAGUUGGCAAUAGUCGUUUCUAUAAUCAGAUGAAAAUUUUCAUUCAGGAUACCUCCCACUUUUUCACUAUUCUUGAAUUCUAGUAUGGGUCUCUCUUGUUUCUCCUUGGGGGUCGUCCCUCCCUCUCUACUAAUUUCCAUUAGCUCGACAACCCUU
rnacentral:lncRNA from 1 species